AGCAGCCGCGGUAAUUCCAGCUCCAAUAGCGUAUAUUAAAGUUGUUGCAGUUAAAAAGCUCGUAGUUGAAUUUUGGAUUCUACCAAUUGGUCCAUCUUUUAGAUGAGUACUGGUUGUGUGGGGUCUAUCCGCCUGGUGAUACGUAAUGUCCUUUAUUGGAUGUUGCGGGUAGUCAGGACCUUUACCUUGAAAAAAUUAGAGUGUUUAAAGCAGGCUUAUGCCGGAAUACAUUAGCAUGGAAUAAUAGAAUAGGACGAAGUUGUUUUAUUUUGUUGGUUUCUAGGACAACCGUAAUGAUUAAUAGGGAUAGUUGGGGGCAUUAGUAUUCAAUUGUCAGAGGUGAAAUUCUUGGAUUUAUUGAAGACUAACUACUGCGAAAGCAUUUGCCAAGGAUGUUUUCAUUAAUCAAGAACGAAAGUUAGGGGAUCGAAGACGAUCAGAUACCGUCGUAGUCUUAACCAUAAACUAUGCCGACUAGGGAUCGGGCGAUGUUGUUUCCAUGACUCGCUCGGCACCUUAUG
rnacentral:rRNA from 1 species